rnacentral:rRNA from 1 species
GACGUGACUUCAGAGUUUGAUCCUGGCUCAGGACGAACGCUGGCGGCGUGCCUAACACAUGCAAGUCGAGCGGGGACGAUGGAGGAGCUUGCUCCGAAAUGUUCUAGCGGCGGACGGGUGAGUAACGCGUGAGCAAUCUGUCCCAGACAGGGGGAUAACAGAUGGAAACAUUUGCUAAUACCGCAUGAGACCACAAUGUCGCAUGGCAAAGGGGUCAAAGGAGCAAUCCGGUCUGGGGUGAGCUCGCGCCUGAUUAGCUAGUUGGUGAGGUAACGGCCCACCAAGGCGACGAUCAGUAGCCGACCUGAGAGGGUGAUCGGCCACAUUGGAACUGAGACACGGUCCAA